CGAAGGCUGAGGCUCCCUACUGUUUCUCUCUCUUCUUGAAGUCAACCGAAAUCAAUCUCAAAUUCUCAUUCUCUCACUCUCUCCCUCAACUUCACUUAUUGCUGUCUCUCUCUCUCUCUAUACAAAUCCACAAUCAUGGCAGACCAGAGCACAAACCCUUCAAUCAUGGAGCCAAAGCCACCACAUCCACUACACCAGAUAGCAGAAACUCCAACCCACAAGCUCCUUUUGAAGCAAUGGCUCAACGAAGAGACCCAAAUGAAUUCUGUCCAUAAAGAGAUCACAGAGCUAUAUAUCUUUUUCUUCCUCUUCCACUCCAGUGCCCUGCUCCUUCUCUUCAAUGCCUCCUCCAAAGACCCACCUGGAACUAGUGCUUCCUCCUGCAAGAGAUCACGGAUCCCAUCAUUGUGUUCUCUUUUGUGUUCUUUGGGAAUAACCUGGGCCGUUCGAUACAAAACUGAUGUAGAACUCCACUUGGAGAAGUUGUUGGAGAGAGAGAAAGAGGAUGGGAAGUUGUUGUCCAAGUCGAAAUUGAGAAAGGUUCAAAAGAUCCUGAUUCUUGCAGUGUCACCGAGAAAUCGCACCAGCUCUGCUCAAGAAUAAGGUGGUCCAAGGCAAAAACUUAUCAUCAGAAUCUUAGGAUAAAAAACCCCAGAUACUGAUGUAAAGGGAAACCUGGCAUCGUAAUAUCUUACAUAUUUCUGAAUCGCAAACUGUAGAAGAAAAUCAGAAAUUGCGACAGCAAUGUGGAGCCUUGAUUACGAUUCCCAAAAGUAUGUUAGCUGAUAAAUGCUAAAAAAUGAUUCGGAUAAAAUGGGAUUUUAUGUGUGCUUGUGAUAUGAGGUUCUAGCUAUGAGAUGUUUUGCUUGUAUCAUAAAAAAUAUUGCUGCAAAGGGAAAGGACAGACUGAUUGGGUUUCACAACUCUCAAGGAUCCAGGGAAGCUUGGAGCUCUUGGAUAAUGGUGUAAAACUAGCCAGAUAUAUACAUAUAUAUAUACAUAUAUAAAGGAAACUUGUGAGAAUUUGUCAAAUAGACUGGCAUCUGAUGAAUGUUAAUAUUGCAACGAAACACUUGUACAACAGCGUGACUUGCAUCAAAAUAAGGCCAUUCAGAUGGAUGGCAAUUUUCAGACCAUUCCUACCAUAUCUGUUCUUGUACAGCAUUUCGUUGCCCAACAUAUAUUUUUUCACUUGCUAGACAUUGAAUUGUUUCCUAGGGGUGGGAACUCGAUUUUCCAUGGAUUGCAAUCUUUGUUUGAGAUGGAAAACUUCAACCUGUAGUUGGAAUGCUCUAGCCCUUUCCCCUGCGAGGACUCCCCUAGUAGAAUGUAGUUCCUUCUGUGUAUCAUCCAAAACUGCCUUAAGGAAAGCCACAUCAUGCUCAAGCCUUACAUUAUCAGAAUGGACAAUAUUUGACAAGCUGUUGGCCUCUUCUUGUGCUAGCUCUACACCAGCUAGCUUCUCUUUUAGCAACUCCAUCUCCCUUCGUGUGUCUGCCAACUUUUUCUCCAUAUCUUGUUUACUCUUCAUAACAGAGGAUAGAUUUUUCUCUGCAGCUUCUCGACUUGACGAUGCUGCAGCUAGUUGUCCUUCUAGAACCCCAUUCUUUCUUAUUAGAGCAGCUAUUUUUGUUUCAUAUAAUUGAUAUAUGCUUGAAUGGGCCCCUCCUGUCAUACCAUCAGUUUGUGGUACUAAAACAUCCUCAUUAUCAACUAGAUGGUUUCCAAUUCCUUGGUUUUGGGAGUUCAAAUUUUCAGAUUCAAAUACACAAGGAUUCUCCUCCGCAAUAAUUUUACCUGUUGACACGUUAGUCUGAAUUGACAUAUCAGGUUGACUUGUUUGGUGUCCCAUUGCCUAAAAAAAAAUAUCAUGUUUAUAUCAACAUAAAAUAUAAACGUCUCACUGUGAAUUUAUGUUCCAACAUGGAAAAAUUACAAUUUUACAUUUAUGUCUUUUCGUUUGUUUAUCCACAAAUUAGCAGUAAGCUUGCCAAAUAGCUGUUGUAGAAAAAAUAGCAUGUUAAUGAUGAAUUGUAAGAUUAGAAUUGGACCAAUCACUGCAAGGGAUGUAGAACUGCAAAAAGAAUUUUAGGAAUCCAGAAUUUAGGUCUAGAACUUAGAAAUCAUUGCAUCUCUAAUAAGGGUUGAAAUUUGACCAUGAAUACACUCUUCUCUAGUGACACAAGCUGCUAUGUAAUGAUCGCUUAAUUUUUCAUUGUAAAUAACCAGAAUACUGAAUUUCAGUUUCAUCAAUUAAAAACUGAGUUUAUUAUAUUAAUAUGCUAGAUUUCAUAUAACACUAAGAAUUAGUGAUGACCGUUAAAUUGGUGAGAACCAUCAACUCACCAUAGAUGAAAAUGUUCCAUCUUCUGAAUUCUUUGCCAUCUUAACAGCUGUGUUAUGUUCUUCCUCGUGAAAUUGCUUGUGCAGUGAGACACUGCCAGAAACAGAAUAUGGAUAAAAAAGUGUCUCUGACAAAGAUUUUCUACCAGAAACAUGCUGCUCAACUGCAGAUGCCAAAAUUUGUCUUGCAAGGGAUUCGUCUGAACGCUGGGAAGAACCAGUACUGAGUUGUGCACCCAGCCCCAUGGAUGAUGACCGUUUUCCAAACAACAUAGGGUCAGGACCUUUACUAGCAACAGAUUUUCGACUCAUGGAUGAUUCAUUCUUAUCCAUAUCCAUAACUUCAACCUGAUUUGAUGGCUCCUUUUUGGAUCCUCCAAAUGCAACUAGAAAAUCCUUUUCCUUGUGUUGCACAAGCACCAUGCUAAAUCCCUGAGAGUGAAACAAGUGUUUUAGGCAGACAAAUACAGUUAAAAAAAAAAAAAGAGCAAGAAGAAAUAAACAUGUGGCCAUGCUGCCUACACAAAAUACAGGACAGCAUAAAUUGAAGUCUAAAUCUACGAAGCCAUAGUAUUCAAACAAGUUUCAGCUACAAAAAAAAUCAAAUAAAUUGUUUACAUCAACCAUUUCUCAGCAAAUUAGUCCCCUAGCUUACACUAUCAUAUAUGCAGGGUAAGGAUCACCUUGUUCGUCGUGAUAGAAGAUGGGGAUGCUGCAAAGGCUACAGACCACUCCACUUUCAAAGUAUCAAAAACCAAAGUUUCCGAGUGUCGUUUUUUUCGGCUACCACCUCCUGCUAUGUACCAUUUAGUUCCACAUAGAACUCCACAGCAACCAGCCCUAGGAGAUGGAUGGAAACCUCGUAUCUUUAUUCUUGACCAACCCAUCUGAGGAAAAGAAAUAGAAUAUAAGAUGCAACAAUUAAUAUGAAGUUGCUUUUAUCUGGCCAUAAAAUAGUUAACAUGGCAAUAUUAAGAAUGAAUUUAAGCACCGUUUCAAAGUCAAGUGAAUAUAAGUCAUUCAAAGUCCUUGACUUUGAUGCUCCUCCAAAUAUAAGUAGCAUUUUAUCAUCACAAAGAGCAGCCACAUGGUUGGAUCUUGGAGAUGGUGCUGUUCCUGUGCAAUGUAAAGGGAGCCAUGUUAAAGACUUCAGAUCAAACAUAUGUAGAUCAUUUAGUUUUCUCCUUUUAGCAUCUUCACCCCCAAAUAAAAUUAAAGCAGAGCUUGCCCUGACAGCUGUAUGACCACUGCGAGCAACCGGCACAUCUCCCUUUGCUUCCAAAAGUGACCAACACUCUGUUUCCGUGUCAAAUGCCCACACUGAAAUUCUAUCACUUGCAGGAUCUGUUUUUCCUCCAAUUAGAAGUGCCUUCUUCCCCCAUGAAACCAGACAAUGGCCCUUGCAUGCAGGGAUCUUUAGUGGCAGGCUGCUUGGUGACAAGUAAAGCUUCGAUGAAAUUGCAGUCCAGGUAAAUUGGUCAAAAUUAAGCACCUGUACAUCAUCUAACAAUCCACUUCCAGACUCACCACCAACCACAAUCAUCUUGUCACCAAUCACAGUCGCAGCAUGAUUGGAUCGAGGCGCUGGUUUGUCCCCAGAUAUAGACAACACCAUCCAGUUCUCACAGUUUCCUGAUGUAGAGUUAUUAAUAUCAGGUGGACCAGAUGAACACUGACAAUCGAGCUCAUCAGAAUGACUAGUUGUAGGGGCAACACCUUCACUAUUGGGAUUGUUAAUUCGUUUCUGCGGUCUAAUAGGACUUCUAGUUACAAGUGUUGCAUCCGAGAGUUGUACCUUCUUCACUCUGCCAAGUUUCAUGCGUCUACGAGAGAAACCAAACAUUUUGCUUGAAUUAGAAGUUCAACACUUUAAAACACGUUCUCUACCAGAAAGCCACCAGUUAUCAAGUUGCUUUGAACAAAACCCUAUGAAAAAAGACAUCUGAAAGAAAACAACAGUGGACCAUGUAGGUUUCUGAGAAAACAAAACUAGUGAAGAAGCUGAAAAAGAAAGUAGCAGCAAGUACUACAAGUGAAAAGUAACACAUUACAAUGGAAUCCCUGGUCCAAGAAAAAGCUGGUCAAGUGAAAGAGCUGGUGCUUUCUUCUAGUGAGCUGUCAGUGAAGAGAGAGAGAGAGAGAG
rnacentral:misc_RNA from 1 species